AGGGAUAUCGCCAAGCGGUAAGGCACCACACUUUGACUGUGGCAUUCGUAGGUUCAAAUCCUGCUAUCCCUGCCA
rnacentral:tRNA from 8 species